CAGCAGCCGCGGGAAUACGAAGGGUGCAAGCGUUACUCGGAAUUACUGGGCGUAAAGCGUGCGUAGGUGGUGGUUUAAGUCCGUUGUGAAAGCCCUGGGCUCAACCUGGGAAUUGCAGUGGAUACUGGAUCACUAGAGUGUGGUAGAGGAUAGUGGAAUUUCCGGUGUAGCAGUGAAAUGCGUAGAGAUCGGAAGGAACAUCUGUGGCGAAGGCGACUAUCUGGGCCAACACUGACACUGAGGCACGAAAGCGUGGGGAGCAAACAGGAUUAGAUACCCCAGUAGUCCCUGUCUCUUAUAC
rnacentral:rRNA from 1 species